GAUGAACGCUGGCGGCGUGCCUAAUACAUGCAAGUCGAGCGAACAGACGAGGAGCUUGCUCCUCUGACGUUAGCGGCGGAAGGGUGAGUAACACGUGGAUAACCUACCUAUAAGACUGGGAUAAAUUCGGGAAACCGGAGCUAAUACCGGAUAAUAUAUUGAACCGCAUGGUUCAAUAGUGAAAGACGGGUUUGCUGUCACUUAUAGAUGGAUCCGCGCCGCAUUAGCUAGUUGGUAAGGUAACGGCUUACCAAGGCAACGAUGCGUAGCCGACCUGAGAGGGUGAUCGGCCACACUGGAACUGAGACACGGUCCAGACUCCUACGGGAGGCAGCAGUAGGGAAUCUUCCGCAAUGGGCGAAAGCUUGACGGAGCAACGCCGCGUGAGUGAUGAAGGUCUUCGGAUCGUAAAACUCUGUUAUUAGGGAAGAACAAAUGUGUAAGUAACUAUGCACGUCUUGACGGUACCUAAUCAGAAAGCCACGGCUAACUACGUG
rnacentral:rRNA from 1 species